ensembl:ribozyme RNaseP_nuc Nuclear RNase P
UCAGUGUGGGGCAGCAGACUGCUCUCUACCUGGGAGCCAGGAUUCCCCCUGGGAAGUUCUGAGACUAAGUGUCUUCCAGAUAACCUUCAGCGGA